GGGUUAAAAUAGCAAAAUCGGGGUAUUGAUACUAAUAAAAAUAAUACUUUAAAACAAUAAUUAUUUGAACAAUAC